rnacentral:rRNA from 1 species
UACGUAGGGUGCGAGCGUUGUCCGGAAUUAUUGGGCGUAAAGGGCUCGUAGGCGGUUUGUCGCGUCGGGAGUGAAAACACGGGGCUUAACCCCGUGCCUGCUUCCGAUACGGGCAGACUAGAGGUAUGCAGGGGAGAACGGAAUUCCUGGUGUAGCGGUGAAAUGCGCAGAUAUCAGGAAGAACACCCGUGGCGAAGGCGGCUCUCUGGUACGUGACUGACGCUGAGACGCGAAAGCGUGGGGAGCGAACAGG